CUCUACAUUCCUAUGUAUCUAUGCCCUAAGCUAUUAAGUGGAUUUGCUGCCUUCAGCCAAACACUUUAUGUAAACCUCCAGGCCUUCCAAGAGGUUUCUCAAGGUGAUCAAUCCAGACCUCUGCCGUAUGUAACCACCUCCUGGUGACCACCUCCCUGUGGGACAGCUGGAUACAACCUACUUGACUCACCCUGAUGACUCCCACACCGCGUAUGGACUGUGCAGAUAUGUCACAAUGACCACCUCUCAGUCGCAGUGUGACUCCAUGGAGCUGGUGCUUGCUUUCUCUAAACUCAAUUAGGACUCACCUUGGGAAACCUGCCUUGGUAAUGUCCUGGACCCCAAAGCCUCUGCCCACAAGUCCCUCUCUCUUGCUCCUCACCCAGAGGUUGAGUGUGUGUUUCCUGGAUGACUGUCUUCUUCCCAUCAGUCCUGGUGAUGUGUCCUGCCCUUUUCUCUCUAGAUUUGUAAGUAAUAAACUGCUUCU
rnacentral:lncRNA from 10 species